GUGAUGCCCUCUGGUAGGCCAGAGACACUAACAAUGAACUCCUCUCUGGAAUUUCUAAUUCUAAUCUUAAUGUUUGGAGAAACUGGCAGCAAUUCAGUCAAACAGACAGGCCAAAUAACCAUCUUGGAGGGAGCAUCCGUGACUAUGAACUGCACAUACACAUCCGUGGGGUACCCUACCCUUUUCUGGUAUGUCCAAUACCCCAACAAACCUCUGCAGCUUCUUCAGAGACAGACGAUGGAAAACAGCAAAAACCUUGGAGUCAGAAAUAUUAAAGACAAAAACUCCCGCAUUGUGAAAUACUCGGUGCAGGUGUCAGACUCAGCCAUGUACUGCUGUCUUCUGAGAGACACUGUGCUAAAAGCACAGGGGAGCUAUACAAAAACCUCAGUGGCCCAGAGGAAGUAUGUAGUGAGGCUGGAAAACCCAGGUUGUAGAGCCUUGUUCUCUCUCUCACAGACAGUCCUGUUAAGACAUUAUUAG